UACGUAGGGGGCAAGCGUUGUCCGGAUUUAUUGGGCGUAAAGAGCGUGUAGGCGGCCAGACAGGUCAGCUGUGAAAACUCGAGGCUCAACCUCGAGACGUCGGUUGAAACCGUCUGGCUAGAGUCCGGAAGAGGAGAGUGGAAUUCCCGGUGUAGCGGUGAAAAUGCGCAGAUAUCGGGAAGAACACCCGUGGCGAAGGCGGCUCUCUGGGACGGUACUGACGCUGAGACGCGAAAGCGUGGGGAGCGAACAGG
rnacentral:rRNA from 1 species